AAUAUUGGACAAUGGGCGAAAGCCUGAUCCAGCCAUGCCGCGUGUGUGAAGAAGGUCUUCGGAUUGUAAAGCACUUUAAGUUGGGAGGAAGGUGUCGAAGCUAAUACCUUCAAUCUUUGACGAUACCAACAGAAUAAGCACCGGCUAACUCUGUGCCAUCAGCCGCGGUACCACAGAGGGUGCAAGCGUUAAUCUGGAUUACUGGGCGUAAAGCGAGUGUAGGUGGUUCAGUAAGCUGGAAGUGAAAUCCCCGGGCUUAACCUGGGAACGGCUUUCAUAACUGCUGAGGUAGAGUACAGUAGAGGGUAGUGGAAUUGCCUGUGUAGCGGUGAAAUGCGUAGCUAUAGGAAGGAACACCAGUGGCGAAGGCGACUACCUAGACUGAUACUGACACUAAGGUGCGAAAGCGUGGGGAGCAAACA
rnacentral:rRNA from 1 species